rnacentral:rRNA from 1 species
AGCGAACGCUGGCGGCAGGCCUAACACAUGCAAGUCGAACGGCAGCACAGUAAGUGCUUGCUCUUACGGGUGGCGAGUGGCGGACGGGUGAGGAAUAUAUCGGAAUCUACUUUUUCGUGGGGGAUAACGUAGGGAAACUUACGCUAAUACCGCAUACGACCUACGGGUGAAAGCAGGGGAUCUUCGGACCUUGCGCGAUUGAACGAGCCGAUGUCGGAUUAGCUAGUUGGCGGGGUAAAGGCCCACCAAGUGGACGAUCCGUAGCUGGUAUGAGAGGAUGGUAGGCCACCCGGGAACUGAGACGGGCUCCAGACUCCUACGGGAGGGAGCAGUCGGCAAUAUUGGGCAAUGGGCGGAAGCCUUAUCCAAUCAUACGGCGGCGGUGGAGAAGGCGUUAGGGUUGUGAAGCCCUUUUGUUGGGAGAGAAAAGCAGCAGGUUGAUACCCCGCGGUACUGACGGUACCCAAAGAAUAAGCACCGGCUAACUUCGUG